UAAAAUAAAAUAAUAUAUAUAUUUUUUAAAUUUAAAAAAUAAUAUAAGCGGGCCUAAAAUGGGUUUGAGUUAAUCUUUUACAAUUACGAGUGAAUUUGGAUAAACUUUUAGACUCAUAUUUCAGACCAGACUGAAUUUAAAUAUACAUAAAUUAUGUUAAUAUCAUACUUGACCUGAAUCUAACCCCACCCGACCUAACCGAUUAGCACUAAUUUAACCUGAAUCUAGCCCCGCCGACCUAGCUCAUUAGCACUAAGGGCCAGUUCUUCAUUGCUUUUGAAAAGUGCUUUUGAAAAAUGCCGUGGAAAAGUGAUUUUGAGAAGUGCUUUUGAAAAGUUUGGUUUAAAAUUUGAGUGUUAAGCAUUACUGUCAAAAAGUGCUUUUGAGAAAUAAAAUGUCCAUUUUAGACAUGUUAUUAUCAAGUAACAAAUAUGUAUUUAAAUAAUAUUUAAAUUAGUUAAUAUUAUUAUAUUUUAGUAAUAAUAUAAAAAAAUUAUUAUAACU
rnacentral:lncRNA from 1 species